GUAUAUUAAUGUUGUUGUGGUUAAAAAGCUCGUAGUUGGAUUUCGGCAGGCGACGGCUGGUCUCAAUUGCUUGGGUACUGGCUCUGUUUCGGCCUGUGUUGUGUUUGCUGGUUCUGUGUCGGUGAUCUUGAUCGGUUGUCGACUAACAGGCCAGCAGUUUUACUUUGAAAAAAUUAGGGUGCUCAAAGCAGGCGCUUACUUGCCUGAAUAUUCGUGCAUGGAAUAAUAGAAUAGGAGGUCGUUCCUAUUUUGUUGGUUUUCGGGAACCGACUUAAUGAUUAAAAGGGACAGUCGGGGGCAUUUGUAUUCAGGCGCUAGAGGUGAAAUUCUUGGACCGCCUGAAGACAAACUACUGCGAAAGCAUUUGCCAAGUAUGUUUUCAUUAAUCAAGAACGAAAGUUAGAGGUUCGAAGGCGAUUAGAUACCGCCCUAGUUCUAACCAUAAACGAUGCCAGCUAGCGAUCUGCCGGUGUUUUAUUCAUCGACUCGGCAGGGAGCUUCCGGGAAACCAAAGCUAGUGGGUUCCAGGGGAAGUAUAGUUGCU
rnacentral:rRNA from 1 species